GUGAUUGUGGCUCAGUGGCAGAGCGCUUGCCUCACAUGUACGAGGCACUGGGUUUGAUCCUCAGCAACACA
rnacentral:tRNA from 1 species